rnacentral:rRNA from 1 species
UACGAAGGGGGCUAGCGUUGCUCGGAAUCACUGGGCGUAAAGCGCACGUAGGCGGAUUGUUAAGUCAGGGGUGAAAUCCUGGAGCUCAACUCCAGAACUGCCUUUGAUACUGGUGAGCUUGAGUCCGGAAGAGGUGAGUGGAACUGCGAGUGUAGAGGUGAAAUUCGUAGAUAUUCGCAAGAACACCAGUGGCGAAGGCGGCUCACUGGUCCGGUACUGACGCUGAGGUGCGAAAGCGUGGGGAGCAAACAGG